GUGGGGAAUAUUGGACAAUGGGCGAAAGCCUGAUCCAGCAAUGCCGCGUGAGUGAAGAAGGCCUUCGGGUUGUAAAGCUCUUUUACCCGGGAAGAUAAUGACUGUACCGGGAGAAUAAGCCCCGGCUAACUCCGUGCCAGCAGCCGCGGUAAUACGGAGGGGGCUAGCGUUGUUCGGAAUUACUGGGCGUAAAGCGCACGUAGGCGGUCUUUUAAGUCAGAGGUGAAAGCCCGGGGCUCAACUCCGGAAUUGCCUUUGAAACUGGGAGACUUGAACACGGGAGAGGUGAGUGGAAUUCCGAGUGUAGAGGUGAAAUUCGUAGAUAUUCGGAGGAACACCAGUGGCGAAGGCGGCUCACUGGACCGGUAUUGACGCUGAGGUGCGAAAGCGUGGGGAGCAAACAGGAUUAGAUACCCCGGUAGUCC
rnacentral:rRNA from 1 species